CUGUUUAGGGGUGGGGGCCAAUAGUUGUUUUUUUGUUGUUGUUUUUUUACAGUGAGCAGCCACAGGCUGCUCACUGUUUAGUGGACAUGCCCCUACUCGCGGUAUAGCGAGUAGGGGCAUUUGGGAGAUUUUUAUCUCCCUUGUGCUAUUAUGGGGUUCAUAUUGACCCCCAUAGAGUGAGGGGGGCCUGGGGGGCUUAUGAAGUGGUGGGGAGCACUGCUCCCUGCCGCUUCUAUCGUUACAUAUUACAAGGAGGGAGCUGCACGCCGGUAGCUCCCUCCUUGUAAUAAACUGC